rnacentral:rRNA from 1 species
GAUGAACGCUGGCGGCGUGCUUAACACAUGCAAGUCGAACGGAAAGGCUCCUGCUUGCAGGGGUACUCGAGUGGCGAACGGGUGAGUAACACGUGGGUGAUCCGCCCAGCACUUCGGGAUAAGCCUGGGAAACUGGGUCUAAUGCCGGAUAGGACGAUGGUUUGGAUGCCAUUGUGGAAAGUUUUUUCGGUGUGGGAUGAGCUCGCGGCCUAUCAGCUUGUUGGUGGGGUAAUGGCCUACCAAGGCGUCGACGGGUAGCCGGCCUGAGAGGGUGUACGGCCACAUUGGGACUGAGAUACGGCCCAGACUCCUACGGGAGGCAGCAGUGGGGAAUAUUGCACAAUGGGCGCAAGCCUGAUGCAGCGACGCCGCGUGGGGGAUGACGGCCUUCGGGUUGUAAACUCCUUUCGCUAGGGACGAAGCGCAAGUGACGGUACCUGGAGAAGAAGCACCGGCUAACUACGUG